rnacentral:rRNA from 1 species
GAUGAACGCUGGCGGCGUGCCUAAUACAUGCAAGUCGAGCGAACAGAUGAGGAGCUUGCUCCUCUGACGUUAGCGGCGGACGGGUGAGUAACACGUGGAUAACCUACCUAUAAGACUGGGAUAACUUCGGGAAACCGGAGCUAAUACCGGAUAAUAUAUUGAACCGCAUGGUUCAAUAGUGAAAGACGGUUUUGCUGUCACUUAUAGAUGGAUCCGCGCCGCAUUAGCUAGUUGGUAAGGUAACGGCUUACCAAGGCAACGAUGCGUAGCCGACCUGAGAGGGUGAUCGGCCACACUGGGACUGAGACACGGUCCAGACUCCUACGGGAGGCAGCAGUAGGGAAUCUUCCGCAAUGGGCGAAAGCCUGACGGAGCAACGCCGCGUGAGUGGUGAAGGUCUUCGGAUCGUAAAACUCUGUUAUUAGGGAAGAACAAAUGUGUAAGUAACUAUGCACGUCUUGACGGUACCUAAUCAGAAAGCCACGGCUAACUACGUG